AUGAAAAUUACCCUUGAAUGCAAUGUUUCAUAUUUGUGCACUUUACUUUCUGGUAGCGUGGUGCCUGGUGAGGUUGCCUUCCUUGCCUGGUAUUCAACAGUGUACCAAAUGAUUACAGAAAACACUCGUUGGUGGGUUUUACUGCGUUCAUUGGAAUGCAAAACUAAACCUAAUUUCCCAUUGAAAAUGACAGUUGGGCAGGAGCAAAAUCACACUAACAAGCGCAAAGGUGAAUGGUCAGUAGUGGUGUUUGAGUUGAGAAAUUCACUGCAUCUUGUCAUAGUAUUGCUGACUCAAGGAUAG
rnacentral:rRNA from 1 species